rnacentral:rRNA from 1 species
GGAAUUGACGGGGCCCGCACAAGCGGCGGAGCAUGCGGAUUAAUUCGAUGCAACGCGAAGAACCUUACCAAGGCUUGACAUACACCGGUAACGCCCAGAGAUGGGUGCCCCUUUGUGGUCGGUGGACAGGUGGUGCAUGGUUGUCGUCAGCUCGUGUCGUGAGAUGUUGGGUUAAGUCCCGCAACGAGCGCAACCCUCGUCCUAUGUUGCCAGCGGGUCAUGCCGGGGACUCAUGGGAGACUGCCGGGGUCAACUCGGAGGAAGUGGGGAUGACGUCAAAUCAUCAUGCCCCUUAUGUCUUGGGCUUCACGCAUGCUACAAUGGCCGGUACAAAGGGCUGCGAUACCGCGAGGUGGAGCGAAUCCCAGAAAGCCGGUCUCAGUUCGGAUUGGGGUCUGCAACUCGACCCCAUGAAGUCGGAGUCGCUAGUAAUCGCAGAUCAGCAACGCUGCGGUGAAUACGUUCCCGGGCCUU